rnacentral:lncRNA from 1 species
CCGCGCCGCCUGUAGAAAACUCGAUGUUGCAGGUGCGGCGGCCCAACUGCUAAGAGCCGAAGCUGCUGGACUGGGAAAUGGUUGCAGUCAAGAGCGUCGGCACAGGCUCUGCAGAAAGUCGGGGUUAGAAAGGCUGCUCGGAGAUGCCUCAGCGCUGGAAACAGUCUGGCACCUCGCUCCACAGCCCGAUUCCUGUAGCUUUUGACCCCGCCUCCACCUUUAGAGUGCUAGUGCCCUCUGGACCCAGAGUUUUGCCACAGCCUACAACCCGCUUGACAACAGGCCGACCCUUCCCCAUCUUUCCUACUAGCGCCCCGCCGCUCUGGCUCUGGGGCUGGUUAAGUUUGCAUGACUGUAUCUCUGCUGGUAAAUCACAAACCAUGAGGAAAGUAAGGGGUCCUGCAUUAGCGCUGGUCUCUGUGA